AAUCAACGCUGGCGGCGUGCCUAACACAUGCAAGUCGAACGCGAAAAGGGCUUCGGCUCUGAGUAGAGUGGCGUCCGGGUGAGUAACGCGUGGGUAAUCUACCUUUGGGUGGGGAAUAACUAGUCGAAAGGCUAGCUAAUACCGCAUAAUGCAAUUUUCUAUUAGGGAAUUGUUAAAGCAGUAAUGUGCCUAAAGAUGAGCCUGCGUCUGAUUAGUUUGUUGGUAGGGUAAUGGCCUACCAAGACUACUAUCAGUAGCUGGUCUGAGAGGACGGCCAGCCACAAUGGCACUGAAACACGGGCCAUACUCCUACGGGAGGCAGCAGUGGGGAAUUUUGCGCAAUGAGCGAAAGCUUGACGCAGCAACGCCGCGUGAAGGAUGAAAUCCUUCGGGAUGUAAACUUCGCAAGUAUGGGAAGAAAAAAUGACGGUACCAUAUGUAAGCCCCG
rnacentral:rRNA from 1 species